rnacentral:lncRNA from 1 species
CCUAAAUAGAUGAACUAACAAAAUCACAAAACAGGAUUGGAGGUAAGGGAUUCCUCAUCUACAGAGCUCCAAAUGCUACACUUGGGGAAAAUGCCAAGCACUCUUAACUACUGUGUUCACUUGGAAAUUACUUCACUGGCACUUGUCUGGGAACACAGAAGAGACACAACCUAAUCGAUCCAUAAAGGUAAAAAUUAGAGUUGUGUUAAUGCAAAAUGUAUUUUUAUGGUAAAAGGAAUUCGAAAUGCAAAACAUUGAAGGUAGAGAGAAAGAAUGAUAU